rnacentral:lncRNA from 1 species
ACAAUCUCUCCAUUAACCAUGAUUCACUUCAUCUCGAACCCACAAAAUCUUUCAUUUUUCUUUAAGUAUUUCUCACUUGUCUUAUUUUAGCAAAAAAUUAAUCUAUUUUUAUGUUUUUCUCACGCAAAUUAAGGUCGUGAUUUUUGCACAAUUUGAUAGAAGAUUGGUGUUGUGUUCCUAUUUUUGUUGUUAAAAGUAAUGGGAAGAAAAUAAUCUAUUACUUCUCCAAUUUUUAUUCAAAAUUUCAACUACACACUCAAUCUUCACGGGAUCGUAUCACCCCCUGAACUAUUUAAAAAUGAAAUUAUUAUCCCCUUAAAAACUCACACCUAGAUAUGUAUUGAGAAAUGAUCAACACACGCCUGCCACAUAAUGUCACGUAAUAUCCACGUAAUAUUAUAUUUUUAUAUAAAAAUUUAAUUAUUUUUCUUAAUAUAUCUCCUCUCCUUUUUUCUCUUUCCUUUUUCAUUCCCCUUUUUCUUUUCUUUUUUCCUUUUCUUUAUAACUCUCUCGCCUUUCAUUUUUCCGACGAUCAAAGAGAUACCAAGAUGGUGAAGAAGAUGGCAUCAGAUAAGCAUCAUUCGAAUUUCAAGCGUCAGAUUUACGAUUUGUAUGGUGAGGAAGCACUGAAAAUUAAUUGCUAUAAAACUUUCUGGUGUGCAAAAUUUGGGGAUCGGAGGAGAUGGGUUGUUGGCAUCGGUGGAGAAUGUAUUGUUAUGUAGUUUUGACGAUUUGUAUGAAGGAGUGUUAUAUGAAGGAGUGAAGAUUGAAGAUGAUGAAGAUUUCUAGGACCGUUAGAAUUUAUUUAAUCGCAAUCUUUAUCCAUCUUGUUAAUUUUAUUUUAGAUUUGCUUAUCCUUUUAGUUUCUUUCAGUGAUAAUUGCUACAAAAUUUUUGAUCUUUGUAUUGAAUUUCGGAUCUUCUUUUUGAAAUUGAAUACUGAAUUUUUUUUGUGGAUUUUGUGCUUGGGCACAUCAAUGAAAUUGAAACAUAAAAAGAGGCUCAUUGGAGAUGAGGAAGAUGAGAGAUUAGUGUUG